GCCGGGGUGGCCGACCGGUUAGGCGGCGGCCUGCAGAGCCGCUAUAAAUGGGUUCAACUCCCAUCCCCGGCU
rnacentral:tRNA from 1 species